GUCGAGCGGUAGAGAGAAGCUUGCUUCUCUUGAGAGCGGCGGACGGGUGAGUAAUGCCUAGGAAUCUGCCUGGUAGUGGGGGAUAACGCUCGGAAACGGACGCUAAUACCGCAUACGUCCUACGGGAGAAAGCAGGGGACCUUCGGGCCUUGCGCUAUCAGAUGAGCCUAGGUCGGAUUAGCUAGUUGGUGAGGUAAUGGCUCACCAAGGCGACGAUCCGUAACUGGUCUGAGAGGAUGAUCAGUCACACUGGAACUGAGACACGGUCCAGACUCCUACGGGAGGCAGCAGUGGGGAAUAUUGGACAAUGGGCGAAAGCCUGAUCCAGCCAUGCCGCGUGUGUGAAGAAGGUCUUCGGAUUGUAAAGCACUUUAAGUUGGGAGGAAGGGCAUUAACCUAAUACGUUGGUGUCUUGACGUUACCGACAGAAUAAGCACCGGCUAACUCUGUGCCAGCAGCCGCGGUAAUACAGAGGGUGCAAGCGUUAAUCGGAAUUACUGGGCGUAAAGCGCGCGUAGGUGGUUUGUUAAGUUGGAUGUGAAAUCCCCGGGCUCAACCUGGGAACUGCAUUCAAAACUGACAAGCUAGAGUAUGGUAGAGG
rnacentral:rRNA from 1 species